rnacentral:rRNA from 1 species
AGAGUUUGAUCAUGGCUCAGAAUCAACGCUGGCGGCGCGCCUAACACAUGCAAGUCGAACGAGAAAGUGGAGCAAUCCAUGAGUACAGUGGCGUACGGGUGAGUAACACGUGGGUGAUCUACCUUUUAGUGAGGAAUAACCGAGGGAAACUUUGGCUAAUACCGCAUAAGCCUGAGAAGGGAAAGCAGAAAUGCGCUGAAAGAGGAGCCCGCGGCCGAUUAGCUAGUUGGUGGGGUAAGAGCCUACCAAGGCAGAGAUCGGUAGCCGGCCUGAGAGGGCACACGGCCACACUGGCACUGAAACACGGGCCAGACUCCUACGGGAGGCAGCAGUGGGGAAUCUUGCACAAUGGGGGAAACCCUGAUGCAGCGACGCCGCGUGAGCGAUGAAGCCCUUCGGGGUGUAAAGCUCUUUCGUCAGGGAAGAUAGUGACGGUACCUGGAGAAGCAGCUGCGGCUAACUACGUGCCAGCAGCCGCGGUAAUACGUAGGCAGCAAGCGUUGUUCGGAGUUACUGGGCGUAAAGGGUGUGUAGGCGGUUCCUUAAGUUUGCUGUGAAAUCUCCCGGCUUAACCGGGAGGGUGCGGUGAAUACUGAGGGACUAGAGUACGGGAGAGGAAAGUGGAAUUCCUGGUGUAGCGGUGAAAUGCGUAGAUAUCAGGAGGAACACCGGUGGUGUAGACGGCUUUCUGGACCGUAACUGACGCUGAGACACGAAAGCGUGGGUAGCAAACAGGAUUAGAUACCCCGGUAGUCC